GGGUUGUGAGGUUAAGCGACUAAGCGUACACGGUGGAUGCCCUGGCAGUCAGAGGCGAUGAAGGACGUGCUAAUCUGCGAAAAGCGUCGGUAAGGUGAUAUGAACCGUUACAGCCGGCGAUGUCCGAAUGGGGAAACCCAGUGCAAUUCGUUGCACUAUCGUUAACUGAAUACAUAGGUUAACGAGGCGAACCGGGGGAACUGAAACAUCUAAGUACCCCGAGGAAAAGAA
rnacentral:rRNA from 1 species